ensembl:lncRNA
UGCAGUUUAUGAUUAUUAAGUGCCGGCUGUUCUAUCUACUGAGGGAAUAUACAGUCAUACUGCUCAUUGCUGUAUACAUUCCUCCGAACUCCAACAACAGCAACAGGAACGAUGCACUAAAUAAACUGUACCAGCACAUCAGUGAGCAGCAGACAGCCCACCGUGAUGCUUUUCUCAUCAUAGCUGGGGAUUUCAACCAUGCAGACUUAAAGAGUGUGUUCCCAAAAAAACACCAACACAUUAACUUUCCAACACAAGGUAAUAACAUUUUAGAUAUUGAUUACACCACACAGAGAGGAGCUUACAAAGCCCUCCCCCUCCCCCACCUUGGUGACUCAGACCACAUCACUGUCAAGCUAAUGCCUGCAUACAGACCGCUCGUUAAAGUCGCCAAACCAGUUCACAAACAAAUUCAAGUGUGGCCGGAAGGGUCGUCAGAGGCUCUUCAAGACUGUUUUGAGACCACUGACUGGAAUAUAUUUAAGCAGGCUGCCACAUACAAUAACACCACAGACCUCCAAGAGUACUCAGAGACUGUCACUGCCAACAUCACCAAGUGUACUGAUGCUGUAACAGUCACAAAGCCCAUCUCUGUCCGUGCCAACCAGAAGCCGUUGAUGACAGGGGAGGUCUACAGACUCCUGAAGACGCGGAACGCUGCCAUCAGAGCUGGAGAUGAGGUGGGCCUGAGGACAGCUAGGACCAACUUAUCCCGCGGCAUCAGAGAGGCUAAGAGUCAGUACUCCAUGAGGAUAGCCCAUCGUUUCAGCGACAGCAGAGACACACGAAGCCUGUGGCAUGGGAUACAGACCAUUAUGGACUACAGGCCCCCACCACGGACCUGUGACAGCAACAUCUCCCUGCUGAAUGAGCUGAACGCUUCUUUGCUUGCUUUGAGGAACAAAACAGCACCAAUGCACAUAAGACACCACCUCCUCCCGGUGACCAGGUGAUGAUGCUGACGCCAGACAGCGUGAGGAGAUCCUUCAGCAGGAUCAAUGCAUGCAAAGCUCCGGGUCCUGACAACAUUCCUGGGCGUGUACUGAGAGACUGAGCAGUGGAACUCCCUGAUGUCUUCACAGACAUUUUCAACAUCUCGCUUAGUCAGGCUGUUGUUCCCACAUGCUUCAAAGCUCCCACCAUAAUUCCAGUCCCGAAGAAGCCAUCUCCAUCCUGCUUCAGUGACUACCGUCCAGUUGCACUUACUCCUAUUCUCAUGAAGUGCUUUGAAUGGCUAGUCAUGCACCAUAUCAAGUCUUCCCUCCCCCCCUCCCUGGACCCCUUGCAGUUUGCAUAUCGGUCC